CGAAUACGAAUACACACGCGCGGUUUAGUUUAAUCUAGUUUAGUCAGACAGAGUCCUCAUGGCGCAGAGUGAUUUUUGACAAGAGCACUCACCAAUACAGAAGCGGCUACACAUCCUCAGCAGCGCCAUGUUGCGCAGCUUUCAAUUCCGUCCUACAGUCCGCGCUGACUCCCUCCUCCUGUUCCACCGAGACUUCAACAUGCAGCAAGUCCCACCCCCUCCUCUCUCUCACACACACACUCAAAACCAGAGGACAGGGAGGAGCUACAUUGUGCUGCAGUUCCCUCCCCGUUCACCUAAUCGUUACAAUAAUAUUGUAAAGGAAACAGUGGGGUGGUGGGGGGGAGACUGUAUCGAGUGCUUGAGAUAACCAGGUGUAGAGCUGGAUGAACACAGCAGCAUCGAAGGAGCAGGAAGGCUGACGUUUCGUGUACGGACCCUUCUUCAGGAAAAAUCUUUGUAUAGAGUGCUUUCCACCAUCACCUAACGACUCAACGUCCUUUACAUCCAAUGAGGUGCUUUUGAAGUGUUAUAUAAGAGAUGCAGCAGCCAAUUUGUUGACAGCAAGCUCACCAUACAGCAAUUCUGUAAGAACCACGCAAUUGCUGACGACUGUGAAUAACUCUCCUGCUCUUCCUUAAACAGUGCUUCUAUAUAUCCACCAGAGUGGAGAAAGUACCUAAGUUUUACAGUCUAAUCCAAAUGGUGUUUUACCUUCCACACAACCAAGCAACAUUAUGCAUGAUAUUCAGUUUUUUGCAAUGCCAGGUACGUAGCCUAUGCUUUCUCAUGAUUAGCUGUUUGAAUCAACCGUUUUCUCCCCAUGGUAUAAAUUUUUGUGUUAAGUUAAAAAUUUUAAGCUCAGACCUGAAAAAUGCUAUGUCGUUACCUUGGAAAACUAUUUCAAAAAUUUGAACAGCAGAUUAAGCAAGCUAUAUCACAGGACCAUUUUCCACGAACAGGAUGCUGCCAUGACAAAGCACUGACACUGAAAUAGUAGGAACUGCCGAUGCUGGAGAAUCGGAGAUAACACGGUGUGAAGCUGGAUGAACACAGCAGGCCAAGCAGCAUCAGAGGAGCAGGAAAGCUUGAUGUCUCAGGUCGAGACCUUUCUUCAAAAAAUAAGUCACCGACUUACUUCGGUUGCAGGGAAAAGUCCUGGGUUUGGUGGGGCUGGAGGAGAGUGUGGAGCGGACAAAGGUGUCACGGACAGAGACGGCCCUCCGAAAAGUAGAAUCUGCAAGUGCUACACCUGUCCUUACCCCACCCCCCUCACCCCCAAGAAGACUUUCCACAUCGAGCAGAGUCUGCUAAUACGGUAUACUGUAUCCACUGUUCCCAUUGUGGCCUCUAAAUUGGGGAAACCAAGCAGAGGCUCGGGAACCGCUUUGUGGAACACCUACACUCCGUUCACAACAAACAAGUACACCUCCCAGUCGUGAGCCGUUUCAAUUCCCCCUCCCACUCCUUGGAUGACAUGUCCAUCCUGCCACAAUGACGCCAGCCGAAAGCUGCAGGAACAGCAACUCAUAUUUUGCUUGGGAACCCUGCAGCCGAAGGGUAUCAAUGUGGACUUCACAAAAAUCUCCCCUCCCCCCCCCCCCCCCCUGCAUCCCAAAACCACCCGACCUAGUCCCCGCCUCCCUAACCAUUCCUCCCACCUCCAGCCCUGCCCCCAUCCCACACCCAAUGUGAGAGAUUAAACAUGUUGUUUCUGCAUGUAAGGAUGAAUGGUGGGGUCUUGCAAAAGCGGACCAUUAUAGUCACAAGAUUUUAUAGCAGGUCGGGUAAUUCUUGUGCACAAGACCCGGGUCAGGAAAGGUCUUAAAGAUCUGUCCGGGCGACUGGGGGAGCAGCGGUAUUUGCUGCAGGUAUUGCCGCGGGGACGUACGGGAAGUACAGGGAAGAGUUGUAAAGACCAGGUAACUCCGUGCACGGACCAAGGAAGAAGGGUCUGUUAACCCAGACACCUCCACUUGAGUUCGCAGUACAUCGGAUACGACCGGGUGAUUGGGUCCUGAUCAAAACCUGGAAAGAUACCAAACUGCACCCAAACUGGGAGGGACCGUUCCUAACCCUCCUGACUACUGAAACAGCCGUCCGUACUGCUGAAAAACGGCAGAGUCAUCACACUCGUGUUAAGGGUCCGGUGGACGCUCCUUCCCCUCUGGCCGAGCGGCAAGCUCAUCCUACAGACAACCCUUUGAAAGUCAAACUCAGCAGAAAGAAUGAACUGAACUGAUAUGAGACACUACUAAGUAUUGGUUAAAAUUUUUUUUUGAAUUGUAAGUGUUGCACGAACCCAUGCCUCCCAGGUACUUAAAGAGUUAGGGAAUAGACAGGUAAGGUGGGGGUUGAGAAGCUGAAGUGAGCAGGCAGCUUUAUGUUGUUAUGAUAAUAUUGGCGCUAGUUGCUAAGGGGGUCGGGAAGAAUCAUUUUACAGUGUUAUGUCACAAUUAUGCUAGAGAAAUGGGGCGUACUGACUGUUGGGUAUGCGCUGCGAUCCCACACCAUGGAGAAUCUGGAAUCCCUCUCACGGUAGUACCAUUUACCAAUAGAGAGGUGUACGAGGCACAACAAUUUGACUUGGGCUCAAAUGAUACAAAAUGGAGAUCUGAAAGGGGUGAUUAUAAAUUCGCGGGAUGGUUCCCAUGACCAUCUCCGAAAACCCCGGGUGCUAUCGACGGCCUUAGGGUUCUCCCACCGAAAGGGGUAGUCAAUACUACUUGUUUCUGCAAUCAGAACAACAGCGCACCCUUCUAGUUAGGAAACUCCUCGUGUCACCACCAGCCAAGCUACUGGCACAAAUAUACCCCACAUAUUGAACGGGACAGAUUGGAUAUGUGGCCUAGAGGCCUAUCCCUUUAUCCCCGGGGAAAGGUACAUUCGGGUGACCGAAUGCAUAGGAAGCGUAGAAAUGCAGGAAUGUUAUGAUUUUGAUCCAACACUGCCUUAAAGUCAAAGUCAAAGGCUGGAGUGGCUGUUGCUAACUCGCCUACCUAAUUCCCCAUCUGAGGCUGUUAGAUAAAACCCCAGAAAUAACUCAGAAUGGGUAGGGAGGGAAGCAGACACCCCGAGAAGUAACCGAAGGGGAUCGCUUCCUCUGGAGUUUGAUACCUAUGUAGGAGACUGCCCAAGCAGGAAGAGAAAUACAAAAGUUGGCGCCUUCCCUGGAGGAGUUGGCCGACAAUACUGCCGAUGCGUUGGCCGAGACUCAAUCCCAAGUGGCAGCCAUAACGACUGAAAUGAUUGCCACCAGACUAACGAUUCUCUAGAAUAGGAUGGCUCUAGAUUACAUUUUGGCAGAGAAAGGUGGUACCUGUGUCCUAAUCGGGGAAGAAUGUUGUACAUACAUACCUGACGUUUCCCAUAAUAUUACUGAUAUCUCCCAACACGUGCGAGACAAAAUCACCAAAAUAAGGGAGGCCGGUAACCGAUACCGGAAUGAAAAAGGCUGGGAAUGGGGGAAUUGGGGAUUACCUGGUUGGUUAAUUUGGUCGUUUAUGGAUUAUUGAUAUCAGUGGGUCUGGUGGUGGGGUUUAAUGUCCUCAAAUGGAUACUGAACCAAUUAAUGACAUCUCGAGGGGAACGAACCCUAGUACAUCACCAGAUGCUUUUACAAUCAGCAGAUGGUAUGCAACAAAGAGAAAGUCAAAGAAUGCUUCUAGAUUUCAAAAAACGAACAUCACAGAGUGAUUUAAGGGCUAACCGUGUACAAGAUUGUGAACCUCAACGCCAGCAAGCGUAAGAGGGCAGAAAAUGGGAAAAUGGAUUCAAAAGGGGCUUAAUUAGUGCAGAAACAACAGUUUGAGAAAAAGAAAAGGGGGAAUUGUAAGAGAUUAAACAUGUUGUUUCUGCAGGUAAGGAUGAAUGGUGGGGUCUUGCAAAAGCAGACCAUUAUAGUCACAAGAUUUUAUAACAGGAAGUCACAAGAUCUUAUAGCAGAAGUUUAUCAUUAAUCAGAGACUAGGUUCUGCAAAGAUGGCUGUUAGCACGACCAGAAACAUUCUUUCUGCAGACAAGGACAUGGUAGAGAUAAGGGUGUUGUAGCAGAGGCUUAUUUCUGCAAACCUGACGAUUCGCACGUACAGCAUGUCUAGCGCUCUUUAGGAUAGCAAAUAAGGAUUGGAGUAAACAAGGGAAUGGGGCCUUCGGCUGGCAGAAAAGGGAACAAUAAACAAGGGCGGUCCGACAGUACGGGGAAUGAUAGGAUAAGACCAAUGGGAGCAGGGAGGCAUGAUUCUGCAACUUGUAAAUUGUAUAAGAAUGUUUGGCAUUCUUUGUGUGUGUGUGUGCGCGCCUGUCUAGCAGACACUCUUUCUUGCAAGAUCGUACAGAAUAAAAUUGUCUUGUUUCGAA